AGGGUAAAAAAUGUUCGACUUCGCCAAGCUGAAUACAUGGUGUGCUUGUAUUGAUCUUUUUAUUUUGAAUAGACCUUUGAAUUGUGCUCCUUUUUAAUGUGUAUAAAAACAAAAACAAAUCACAUUGAACCCAAAACGUACGUUGUUGUUCUUCCUAAAUGUUGAUAAAUACAUUGAUAACAGUUAAAGGCUGUCAAAAUACUAAGAAGGUGCUCAUUUAUAUGUGGCAUGUUUAUUUAUUUUUCCGAAAAUAUGUGUCGCUAUGGUUGUUUGACUCUCUCUCUCUCUCUCUGUUAUCACAGUAGCAAUAUAUACUCUUCUUCGAUUGAAAACGGAUUCCCUAAUUACCCUCUCUCAUAAUUUUGUUACAAUGUGAUACCUUGCCAUAGCAUUAUUCGUUGCUGUAGAAUAUUUUUUUUAUUUUGGUUAUUGUUGUUAAUUCUUGAUGGAAAAUUUAUUUAUUCCGAUUUUUGCGCACUUUUUUACUUCCACCUGCAGCAGCAUAGUGUGCCCCGAAAUUUUCAAUAAUUUGUCACUUUAUUAAAUGUUUUUUAAACACCCAUUUACCCACAGUUAAAUGUUUAAAUUCUUUAAUCGCCGUUAGAAGGAAAUGCACUAUCAAGGAAAUGUUGAAAAAAAAACAACAUUUACAAAAAUUGUAUAUAACGGAGUAAAAUGUUUUCAAAAUCAAUUAAAAAUGCGAACCUGACUUAAAAUGGUUUUUAAGAUUUGAGGCUAUGCUCUACCCCUAAGGAGCUCUGAAUAUCACAUGACAAUGGGACAAAUAAAGUUUUCCAAUUGUUUGCCAUGGACUUUUGUCUGAACAAAUAGCUCAAGUCGUAACAAAGAAAAAAACUUUGAACUCACGUUGAUUGAAUCAGUCGCACAAGACAGGUCAUGUUUUAAAUACAAUUAUCGUUCAUUAUAACUGAGCUUUAAAAUAGAAUGAUAUAUAAUGUGGAUGCAAGAGAUAUCUGAAUGUAAAAGCAAACGCACAUUUGUUAAUGUGGUGUGGAUAUGGAUAAUUGGUCCGUAGCAAAAAAAAUAAAAAUUAAAACGUGACUGUAUGUUGAUCUACAAUUAUUAGAAGAUUUCCAACUUUUAGUAUGUGCAUUGAUAAAGAAAAUCCAAUGCAAUUGCUUCUUAUUAGAAACGUUUCAAUUUUUUGGAAACUCUAAAGUUUGCAAGUGGGACUCGAUAUAAUAGAUGGGCAAGUAUGCAUUCUAGUGUUUGCAUCACUUGUGCUCUGUCAUCAAUAAACAGAUAUAGGUAUACAAAUAAUAAUCAAAUAAUUCGAUGCAGGAAAGUUAUUUUAAAAUUCCUUUAAUUAAUCUAUACAUUAAUGCCUGAUAGUAGGCAAAGGCAAGUCGGAAAUUGUUCACUGAAUUCCUGAGCAUGAUUGGAAUGACUAUUUCCCCAAAAAAGCUGCCUUUUUAGCAGCCCCAUUGGCGCUUCUAAGAUAUGUUUUAUAAAUAUUUAAAAACAUCAAUUAAAAUGUUUCCCUUCCUAAGCUCUUAAAUAUGACCUUUCGUAAUCCUGCCUAGCACCCUUCUCAAAGCUAUUUUUUACUUUUAUAUGAAAACAAUUGUGAAAACAAUUUAUUAAAAAUAAACUUAAAUUUUAAGUUGGUUUUAUGUAUUUUUUUUAAUUUAUGAAAAAAAUUCAUACAUUUGUAGCUUUAAAAGAAAUUUAAAAAACACGCCUCACAUUAAACUUUUUAAAAGUUUACUUCUUCUUGGGGGCAGCAGCGGCUUUCUUCUUUCUAGCUUCAAAGGCCUUCUGUAGCAUUUUA